rnacentral:rRNA from 1 species
GACAGAGGGUGCAAACGUUGUUCGGAAUUACUGGGCGUAAAGCGUGUGUAGGCGGCUACGUAAGUCGGAUGUGAAAGCCCCAGGCUCAACCUGGGAAGUGCACUCGAUACUGCGUAGCUUGAGUAUCGGAGAGGUUGGUGGAAUUCUCGGUGUAGAGGUGAAAUUCGUAGAUAUCGAGAGGAACACUGGUGGCGAAGGCGGCCAACUGGACGAAUACUGACGCUGAGACACGAAAGCGUGGGGAGCAAACAGG